rnacentral:lncRNA from 1 species
AAUUCUUGCCAAAGAUGUGUUUUCAGGUGGAUUUCAACACUAAGCUAUGGUCAGUUGCAUAAGACGGCUGCCGGUUUUAGAGACAACACGCUGAGUUCCUAAGAAGGGCUGGGCUCAUGAGACUGGGCUCUGGAGGGCAUGGCCUCUGCAGGUGACUCAGUGCGGGGCUGAGGCCUGGUCAUCUCUGCACACCUGCUCCCACCAGCACCCAGCAUAGAAUGGUCAGGGCCCCACACAACCCAGGGAGUGGAGGGCAAUGACCAGCACUUAAUGUAUGUUUUAAAACUUCCAGUGUUUUGUGUGAGGCAGGCUUUUCAAGAGUAGACUUUUCCCAGAGGAAGAAAAGGCGAGCUUCCAGCUACAACAAACCGUAUCCUAGGAAUCUCGAUUCACACGAAACGACAAUGAAGAAUGGAAAGUCUGGUGUUUUAAACAAAUGGACAGAUAUAAAGUGAGCAUAGCUUUAGUCAUUACGCCCAGCCUCCUGAAUUGAGACGGACAAGAAUAAACCUGACUUCCCCCACAAAUAAAUCUGCAGACGUCACUUAUUCAUUCUCGGAUGUUCUAUUGCUCACGAUCUUCGUCGAGUGGAGAGAAGUUAGGCUCUCACGUUAAUCCAGUUCUAACUCAUGAGUCAAACUGAGACUGCAACAAAAGAACGCCCCUUUUUUCUUUUACAUGAUUUUCCUUUUCCC